GAGGAUGUUGGCAUGCCUAUAGGUUUGCCAUGACACAUAUGAUUAGAGGCUAGGAUCCCAUGGGAUCAAGUUUGAGUUAUGGACAAUAAUUUGCAGUAUUGCCAUGCCUCAAACCAUAGCAUAUACAUAUAGGGUGGUGGGGUUUUGGGAUUCAUAAUAGAUUUAGAAUAGGCAGAAGGAAAAUACAGCAUGCUAAAGUAAGCAUUGAAAUAUACACAAGCAGAAAGCAAAC
rnacentral:lncRNA from 1 species